rnacentral:rRNA from 1 species
AGUAAUGAAUAAUAGAUUUGAAAUAUUUAUUAUAUAGAUUUAAAGAAAUAAUCAUAGAAUACAUAAGUUAUUAAUAGUUAUUAGGUUACUAAUAAAUAAAUAAAUAAAUUUAUUUUAAUACCUAAGGUAAACCAUAAAAAAUUAUUUAUUUAAAUAAAUAAUUAUUAUAAAUAUACUAAGUGAACUGAAACAUCUAAGUAACUUAAGGAUAAAAAAUCAACCGAGAUAUUAUGAGUAUUGGUGAGAGAAAAUAAUAUAGUUAAUAAUCCAUAUCGCCUACACCCUUUAGGGGUGUUGGAUAGGUAGGAUUAUAUAUAAGUAUUAUGUAAUAUAAUUAUGUAAGAAUAUAGGACAAACUAGUUCUAAAACUAAAUACUAUUAAUAAACAAAAUAAGUACCGAAAGGGAAAGUAUGUAAGUGGUUAUUUUAUAAGUAAUCAUAGAUAUAAAUUUUAUAUUAAUGAUGUACCUUUUGUAUAAUGGGUCAGCAAGUAAUUAAUAUUAGCAAAAUCAAUAAAAUUAUAAAAAAAUUGAUAAUAUUUCCUUUUUUAUAUUGGAUAAUUAAGUUAAUAUUAAUUGACCCGAAAGCAAAUGAUCUUACUAUGACCAGACGGUUAAACGGUCGAACAGGUUGAUGUUGCAAUAUCAUCUGAUGAGUUGUGGUAAGUAGUGAAAGACAAAUCUGAUUUGCAGAUAGCUGGUUUUCUACGAAAUAUAUGUUAGUAUAGCUUUUAUAAUAAUAAUUAUUAUAAUCCAACGGAUUAUAAAGAACGGUACAGCAACAAAUAUAUUUAGGGGAACUAUUGUAGUUUUAUCAAAAAUAUUUGAUCUCGAAAUGUUUAAUUAUGAUUAUAAGAAGUCAGAUUAUGUGCGAUAAGGUAAAUAAUCUAAAGGGAAACAGCCCAGAUUAAUAUAUAAGGUUCCUAAUUACAUGAAAUAAUAAGUGAAAUAAAUAUUAAAAUAUUAUAAUACAAUCAGUUAAUGGAUUUGACAAUAACCAUUUUUUAAUGAACAUGUAACAAUGCACUGAUCUAUAUAUAAUCUUUUUAAUAAGAUUAUUAUUAUAUAAUAUUAUAAAUUUUUCUUUAUAAAAAAAGAAAAUUAAUAAACAAUAUACGGAUCUUUUACAAAAAUUUUAAAAAUUAUUUAACCGAAUAUUUAAAUAUUAUUAUUAAUUUAAAUAAUAAUAAUAUGGUAGUAGAACAUUUAAUGAAAAAAUAUAUUAAUUAUUAAUUAAUAUAUAAUAAAAUAUAUAAAUAUAUUUUUAAUAAUUUUGUAUUUUUGUAUAAAAAUACAAAAUUAUGAAAUAGUAAUUAAAUAGAGAAUGCUGACAUGAGUAACGAAAAAAAGGUUAAACCUUUUCACCUAAAACAUAAGGUUUUACUAUAAAAGUACGGCCCUUAAUUAAAUUAUAUAAAUAUAAUCUAAGAUAGGAUAAUUCUAAAUUAAAUAUUACAUCUUUUAUUUAUCAAAAAAUUAUAAAAGAUCAAGAAAUACUUUUAAUUUAUACCGUAAUGUAUACCGACUCAGGUAUGUUAGUAGAGAAUAUUAAGGUGAAUUAGAUAAUUAAAGGGAAGGAACUCGGCAAAAAUAGCUCUAACGUUAGUCAAUAAAGAGAUAAUUAAAAACAAGGUUGUACAACUGUUUAAUAAAAACACCGCACUUUGCAUAAACGAUAAGUUAACGUAUAAGGUGUGAACUCUGCUCCAUGCUUAACAUAUAAAUAAUAUUAUUUAAUGAUAAUAUUAUUAAAUUUAAGUAAAUAGCAGCCUUAUUAUGAGGGUUCUAAGGUAGCGAAAUUCAUUGUCCAAUAAUUAUGGUCCUGCAUGAAUGACGUAAUGAUACAACAACUGUCUCCCCUUUAAGCUAAGUGAAAUUAAAAUCGCAGUGAAGAUGCUGUGUACCUAUAGUGUGACGGAAAGACCCUAUGCAGCUUUACUGUAAUUAGAUAGAUCGAAUUAUUGUAUAUUAUAUUCAGAAUAUUAAGUAAUUGAUUAAAUUUAAAUGAGAUACUUAUUAUAAUAAUAUAAUAAUUCUAAUCUUAAUAAAACCUUUUAUAAGGUUAUUUAAUAGAUAUUAUUCUUAAAUAAAAUAUUAUAUAUUAUGUAUAUAUUAUAUAUAUAGUUCCCAAAGGGAACCACCCCCCGCCCCGUGGGGCGGGGGGUAGUUCCCCCCCCUUGCGGGGGGGGGGGCAACGAAGUAGUUAAUAUAUAAUAUAAUAAUAAGAGACAAUCUCUAAUUGGUAGUUUUGAUGGGGCGUCAUUUUCAGCAAUAAUAUCUGAAUAAGUCUAUAUAUAAAUUAUAAUAUUAUUUAAAAAAUAAAAAUAUAUAUUAUAUAUAUUAAUUAUAAAUAGGAAUAUAUUUCUUUAAAGAAAUUUUUAUUUUUUUUAAGUUAUAUAUUUUUGUAAUAGAAAAAAUCAUGUAUAGUAAAAUUGUCUAGAAAACAAUAAUAAUAAUAUUAUUUCUAUUUAGUAGAAAUUUAUAUUAUAUAAUAAAAUGUAUUAAAUUAAUAUAAUGGUAUAACUAUGCAACAAUUAUAACACAAACAAGUGAAAUAAGUACGUAAGUAUGGCAUAAUGAACAAAUAACACUGAUUGUAAUGGUUAUUGAUAACGAAUAAAAGUUACGCUAGGGAUAACAGGGUAAUAUAGCGAAAGAGUAGAUAUUGUAAGCUAUGUUUGCCACCUCGAUGUCGACUCUACCUAUCCUCUUGGUUGUAAAUGCUAAGAAGGGUUUGACUGUUCGUCAAUUAAAAGGUAACGUGAGUUGGGUUAAAUACGAUGUAAAUCAGUAUGGUUCCUAUCUACUAUAGGUAAUAUUAUCAACUUAAGUCUUAUUCUUAGUACGCAAGGAUCAGAAUGAAUUAAUCCAUGGUGUAUCUAUUGAUUAUUUUAUAAUAUAUAUAUAUAUUUAUAUAUAUAUAUUAUCUAUAUUAAUUUAUAUUUAAUAUUAUAGUCACAGUAGAUAAGCUAAAUUAAUAAAUAAUAAGUAUUGAAAGCAUAUAAAAUACGAAGUUGUCUUAAGAUGAGAUAAUAAUCUGAUUAUUUUAGACUAAAAUAAUAUAAGUAUCCAAUCCCACUACCUCCUUCGGAGGUGGAGGGAAUCAGAUCAAUAAAAUAGGUUUUUUAUAUAUAUA